CAAGCUCUGUUUGGACAGGACCCUGUGGAUCCCUCUGGAAACAAAGCCUUUUCCCUGCUGUGGUGGAUGCAAAGCCCAGUGCCAGCUCUGACCUUUUCUGGCUGAAAUUGUAACACGUCAUCAUAAAACAACAUUGAUGUGAUGGAGAAUCAUCUGCUCUGUGAAGAGAGGUUCCACACAUGGAUCCUUAAAGACUUGGCUGGCUCUGAUCAGAUACAAAUGGGUGACACCAGCCUGAAAAACUGCCCUGAAAAAACAGCAAUAAAUCCAUGCUUUCAACAGUGCUGCUUCUGGAAAUCUCUCAAGGCAGCAAAAGAAGGAAGAAAGCAGCUUUAAUGUGUGUACUGUCUUCUAGUCUCUCCAAAAUGAAAAUCUCAAUAAGGAAAUCAACUUUUCUUAAGUUGUGGGAUUCCUAUGGAAAAAGUAUUGGACCCUUUCCACAGUUCUGUAGCUUCCUAUAGGUUCCACAAAAUGAUUCCUUAACUGGAGGCCUUGGUAUUUGCCACAAAGACAAAACCAGUAAUGUUUAAAGGUAA